GACGAACGCUGGCGGCGUGCUUAACACAUGCAGGUCGAGCGGUAAGGCCCUUUCGGGGGUACACGAGCGGCGAACGGGUGAGUAACACGUGGGUGACCUGCCCUUAGCUCUGGGAUAAGCCUGGGAAACUGGGUCUAAUACCGGAUAUGACUCCAUGACGCAUGUUGUGGGGUGGAAAGCCUUGUGCGGCUAGGGAUGGGCCCGCGGCCUAUCAGCUUGUUGGUGGGGUGAUGGCCACCAAGGCGACGACGGGUAGCCGGCCUGAGAGGGCGACCGGCCACACUGGGACUGAGACACGGCCCAGACUCCUACGGGAGGCAGCAGUGGGGAAUCUUGCGCAAUGGGCGAAAGCCUGACGCAGCGACGCCGCGUGGGGAUGACGGCCUCGGUU
rnacentral:rRNA from 1 species